rnacentral:rRNA from 1 species
AUUGAACGCUGGCGGCAGGCCUAACACAUGCAAGUCGAGCGGAUGAAGGGAGCUUGCUCCUGGAUUCAGCGGCGGACGGGUGAGUAAUGCCUAGGAAUCUGCCUGGUAGUGGGGGAUAACGUCCGGAAACGGGCGCUAAUACCGCAUACGUCCUGAGGGAGAAAGUGGGGGAUCUUCGGACCUCACGCUAUCAGAUGAGCCUAGGUCGGAUUAGCUAGUUGGUGGGGUAAAGGCCUACCAAGGCGACGAUCCGUAACUGGUCUGAGAGGAUGAUCAGUCACACUAGAACUGAGACACGGUCCAGACGCCUACGGGAGGAAGCAGUAGGGAAUAUUGGACCAUGGGCGAAAGCCUGAUGCAGCCAUGCCGCGUGUGUGAAGAAGGUCUUCGGAUUGUAAAGCACUUUAAGUUGGGGGGAAGGGCAGUAAGUUAAUACCUUGCUGUUUUGACGUUACCAACAGAAUAAGCACCGGCUAACUUCGUG